rnacentral:rRNA from 1 species
GACGAACGCUGGCGGCGUGCCUAAUACAUGCAAGUAGAACGCACAGUUUAUACCGUAGCUUGCUACACCAUAGACUGUGAGUUGCGAACGGGUGAGUAACGCGUAGGUAACCUGCCUGGUAGCGGGGGAUAACUAUUGGAAACGAUAGCUAAUACCGCAUAAUAUUAAUUAUUGCAUGAUAAUUAAUUGAAAGGUGCAAUUGCACCACUACCAGAUGGACCUGCGUUGUAUUAGCUAGUAGGUGAGGUAACGGCUCACCUAGGCGACGAUACAUAGCCGACCUGAGAGGGUGAUCGGCCACACUGGGACUGAGACACGGCCCAGACUCCUACGGGAGGCAGCAGUAGGGAAUCUUCGGCAAUGGACGAAAGUCUGACCGAGCAACGCCGCGUGAGUGAAGAAGGUUUUCGGAUCGUAAGCUCUGUUGUAAGAGAAGAACGGGUGUGAGAGUGGAAAGUUCACACUGUGACGGUAUCUUACCAGAAAGGGACGGCUAACUACGUG